UGUGGCAAAGUGGGGACCAGGC
rnacentral:misc_RNA from 1 species